CUGACAUGUAAUCUUUCUGUUAAUGAAUCAAUCCUGUGCCUUUUGUCAAAAUUCCUUGUACUCCCAACCUUUUGCUUCUUUAAAAGCCCCUAGCCUCCGAGUCUCGUGGUCGACUCCCCUGCCUCCUGCGUGAGAGUCCAGAUAUUUGGACAGAAAGAAAGUGAGAUCUGACAGGAUUGUAGAUCCAGUCUCUGGGACAGAGAAGACACCUAAUAUUCUUCUGGUUUUGUUGUAUUUGUGUUUUCAAGCUUUGUCACAGAUUGGAAUCAAACUAAGCACAGCCAAACUGCCCCUGAGCUCCAUCCAAUAUUUUCAGGAUUGCUGUGAGGAAGGAUGCCUUUUUCCAAGUUGUGCUAUCUCCCAGCGGUCUCCUGUGUCUGACCAUGGAGCUCUGCCUUGAACCACUCCCCCACCUCAGGAAUGGAUCAUUAUGGAAACUCCUGGCAUGCAGACUUCCUCCUGGACAACAUGAGCCCACUCUUCUGCUUCCUGCUGCUCUCUGUGCUAGCACAGCUGGCCUGCACCCACAGUUUCUUAUCUCUAAACCUUCCUUGUUUGCUCUGGUUUCCCCAUAUGAUCACUGCAGGG